GACGAACGCUGGCGGCGUGCCUAAUACAUGCAAGUAGAACGCUGAAGAGAGGAGCUUGCUCUUCUUGGAUGAGUUGCGAACGGGUGAGUAACGCGUAGGUAACCUGCCUUGUAGCGGGGGAUAACUAUUGGAAACGAUAGCUAAUACCGCAUAACAAUGGAUGACACAUGUCAUUUAUUUGAAAGGGGCAAUUGCUCCACUACAAGAUGGACCUGCGUUGUAUUAGCUAGUAGGUGAGGUAAUGGCUCACCUAGGCGACGAUACAUAGCCGACCUGAGAGGGUGAUCGGCCACACUGGGACUGAGACACGGCCCAGACUCCUACGGGAGGAAGCAGUAGGGAAUCUUCGGCAAUGGGGGCAACCCUGACCGAGCAACGCCGCGUGAGUGAAGAAGGUUGUCGGAUCGUAAAGCUCUGUUGUAAGUCAAGAACGGGUGUGAGAGUGGAAAGUUCACAAUGUGACGGUAGCUUACCAGAAAGGGACGGCUAACUACGUG
rnacentral:rRNA from 1 species